UUGCCAGCCGCCGCGGUAAUACGGAGGGUGCGAGCGUUAAUCGGAAUUACUGGGCGUAAAGGGCGCGUAGGCGGUCGCGCAAGUCGGGUGUGAAAGCCCCGGGCUCAACCUGGGAAUUGCAUUCGAUACUGCGUAACUAGAGUCUGGUAGAGGGAAGCGGAAUUCCGCAUGUAGCGGUGAAAUGCGUAGAUAUGCGGAGGAACACCAGUGGCGAAGGCGGCUUCCUGGACCAAGACUGACGCUGAGGCGCGAAAGCGUGGGGAGCAAACAGGAUUAGAUACCCUGGUAGUCCACGCCCUAAACGAUGAGGACUAGACGUUGGGGGGAUAAAACCCUUUAGUGUCGCAGCUAACGCGUGAAGUCCUCCGCCUGGGGGAGUACGGCCGCAAGGUUGAAACUCAAAUGAAUUGACGG
rnacentral:rRNA from 1 species